rnacentral:rRNA from 1 species
ACCAGACUCCUACGGGAGGCAGCAGUGGGGAAUAUUGCACAAUGGGGGGAACCCUGAUGCAGCGACGCCGCGUGGGUGAAGAAGCGCCUCGGCGCGUAAAGCCCUGUCAGCAGGGAAGAAAAUGACGGUACCUGAAGAAGAAGCCCCGGCUAACUACGUGCCAGCAGCCGCGGUAAUACGUAGGGGGCAAGCGUUAUCCGGAUUUACUGGGUGUAAAGGGGGCGCAGACGGCGAUGCAAGCCAGGAGUGAAAGCCCGGGGCCCAACCCCGGGACUGCUCUUGGAACUGCGUGGCUGGAGUGCAGGAGGGGCAGGCGGAAUUCCUGGUGUAGCGGUGAAAUGCGUAGAUAUCAGGAGGAACGCCGGUGGCGAAGGCGGCCUGCUGGACUGCAACUGACGUUGAGGCCCGAAAGCGUGGGGAGCAAACAGGAUUAGAUACCCUGGUAC